CGAAAACCUUACCUACCCUUGACAGUGGAAGGAAUCCCUGAGAGAUUGGGGAGUGCCCGAAAGGGAACCUUUACACAGGUGCUGCAUGGCUGUCGUCAGCUCGUGUCGUGAGAUGUUGGGUUAAGUCCCGCAACGAGCGCAACCCUUGUCAUUAGUUGCUACGCAAGAGCACUCUAAUGAGACUGCCGGUGACAAACCGGAGGAAGGUGGGGAUGACGUCAAGUCCUCAUGGCCCUUAUGGGUAGGGCUUCACACGUCAUACAAUGGUACAUACAGAGGGCCGCCAACCCGCGAGGGGGAGCUAAUCCCAGAAAGUGUAUCGUAGUCCGGAUUGUAGUCUGCAACUCGACUACAUGAAGUUGGAAUCGCUAGUAAUCGCGGAUCAGCAUGUCGCGGUGAAUACGUUCCCGGGUCUUGUACACACCGCCCGUCACACCAUGGGAGCGGGUUUUACCAGAAGUAGGUAGCUUAACCGCAAGGAGGGCGCUUACCACGGUAGGAUUCGUGACUGGGGUGAAGUCGUAACAAGGUAGGCGUAGCGAG
rnacentral:rRNA from 1 species